AUGGGUGCCAAAACUAUAAACCUCAAUACCCCGUCCGGUAUGAGGGUGAAACGGGCCGUCCCCAUACCCCGUCCGGUAUGAGCACCAAAACACAUACGAUCUCCAUACCCCGUCCGGUAUGAGAGACCACAAUCCCGGUAGGGUCCCCUACGGACCCGGUCCGUCCACCAUCUCCCAGGAUAUCUAGUUAGGCUGACUACAUUACACAAUUAUCAAUUUACAUCACCUUCCAUUCCCCUUUUCCUCAAUCAGCAUCAUCAAUUCGUAUUUAAAUAAGCAAAACAGUAAUUCAUGCCAAACAGACAACAUACAGCAUCGGUAUCUCAGUCAUUCAACCCAUAAUCAAUAAAGUAGUAAAAUAUGCAUACGAAACUAUAAAAUGAAAACAUCAAUCCUCAU
rnacentral:lncRNA from 1 species